GGGGCUGUGGCGCAGAGGGAGCGCGCCUCCUUGGCAUGGAGGAGGCCGCGGGUUCGAAUCCCGCCAGCUCCACCA
rnacentral:tRNA from 1 species